AUUUUGUGUUCCUUGGUGUAAGCAUUGUAAGAACUUGGGCUCAUUGUGGGAAGACCUAGGGAAAGCGAUGGAAGGGGAAGAUGAGAUAGAAGUUGGAGAAGUUGAUUGUGGUACAAGCAAACCUGUAUGUACGAAAGUUGAUAUUCACUCAUAUCCUACAUUUAAGCUUUUCUAUGAUGGAGAAGAAGUUGCUAAAUAUCAAGGGCCAAGGAAUGUUGAAUCUCUUAAAUCAUUCAUUUUCGAUGAAGCGGGAAAAGCAGCAGCGAAAGCACAGCUUGACAGUGAUCAAGAUUUGUGAUCGUCAGUAAGUUGAGGGACUGUAGAUGGAAGCUGAAGUGAUGGUGAAAGUGUCGCAAUGAAAUCAACAUCGUUUUACUAAACAGCCCAGCUUAGAUCCCCCGGGGGAUCAUAAGCUAAUUUUAUUGACUCGUCUUUUUCUUAUCCAUCCUGUGAUCGGAGUUUGUUUUAAUCUGCUUUAGAAGGGCACUAAUUUAGUAAUUUUGCAUUCUAGGGCAUUUGAUCUGUUACAAAAUUGUAUCAUCCUCCUACACAAGGAAUUUCAAUUGAAAGUUUGACAGUUCAUAGUUCUUAGAUUCAAUCAUGUGAAUUUAGGUUGUCUCCUCGUGGCUCCACCUACGAUUUACAAAAUUUUGGGC
rnacentral:misc_RNA from 1 species